AGAGUUUGAUCCUGGCUCAGAUUGAACGCUGGCGGUAUGCUUAACACAUGCAAGUCGAACGGAAACGAUACUAGCUUGCUAGUAGGCGUCGAGUGGCGGACGGGUGAGUAACGCGUAGGAAUCUGCCUGAUAGUGGGGGAUAGCCCGAAGAAAUUCGGAUUAAUACCGCAUAAUCUAUUCGUAGUAAAGUGGGGGACUUUCGANCCUCACGCUAUCAGAUGACCCUGCGUAAGAUUAGCUUGUUGGUGGGGUAAAAGCCCACCAAGGCGACGAUCUUUAGCUGGUCUGAGAGGAUGAUCAGCCACAUCGGGACUGAGACACGGCCCGAACUCCUNCNCCCANCCACCANUGGGGAAUAUUGGACAAUGGGGGCAACCCUGAUCCAGCAAUACCGCGUGUGUGAAGAAGNCCUGAGGGUUGUAAA
rnacentral:rRNA from 1 species